GACGAACGCUGGCGGCGUGCUUAACACAUGCAAGUCGAACGAAAAUACCAAGCUUGCUUGGUUGAUUAGUGGCGAACGGGUGAGUAACACGUGAGUAACCUGCCCCCUUACUUUCCUGGAUAACUGCUCGAAAGGGUAGCUAAUACGGGAUAUUCUGACCAGUCUGCAUGGGUUGGUUUGGAAAGGUUGUUUUUCUGGUAAGGGAUGGGCUCGCGGCCUAUCAGCUUGUUGGUGGGGUGAUGGCCUACCCAAGGCUUUUGACGGGUAGCCGGGCCUGGAGAGGGUGGGACGGUCACACUGGGACUGAGAUACGGCCCCAGACUCCUACGGGAGGCAGCAGUGGGGAAUAUUGCACAAUGGGCGCAAGCUUGAUGCAGCGACGCCGCGUGAGGGAUGAAGGCCCUUCGGGUUGAAAACCUCUUUUCGUCAGGGGAACAAGGGCACUGCUUUUUUGGGGGGGGUUGGGGGGUACCUGGGAUAAGGAAGGGCCGGCUAACCUACCGGGCCCAGCAGGCGCGGGAAAUUUCGUAGGGGCCCCAGCCCUUGUCCGGAAAUUAUUGGGGCGGAAAGAGCUCCUAGGCGCUGGUCGCUUCCUGUCUAAAAACCUUCCGGGUAAACCGGGGCUUGCUUUGUUUCGGGCCGCGUAGAAAGCAGAAGGGGUGCUGGAAUUUUUGGUUUUUUUUGCAUUCCAAAAAAAAAAAAAAAAAAUGCUUGUGGUUUUUUUUUUUUUUUGGGAAUAUCCGUCGCUCCCCUGCACUCUAAAUAUCAGAGAAAGUAGAAAAGGGGCGGGGGGGGGUGAAUUUUUUUUUUGUCGGGGCUCGCCCCCCCCCCCCCCCCUAGUGUGGUGCUAUCUCCUUGUAAACAAAUAUAAUAAAUAAAAAGGGGGGG
rnacentral:rRNA from 1 species